rnacentral:rRNA from 1 species
AAGUCGUAACAAGGUUCCGUAAGUCAAACGUACACUCAUGCGUAUCAGUAGUCGAAGGACCUGCGGAGGGAUCAUUACCGAGUGGAGGGCGCUCCUGGCGCCGACCUCCCAACCCUUUGAUUGAAUCAAAGACCUCACUGUCUGCCUCGGGGGCGACCCGGCCCGUCGGCGCCGGACCCCCCGACGGUACCCAAUCUCAAAACACUGCAUCAAUCUGUCGUCUGAGCAUUCGAAGCGUUAAUUCAGAUUAAAACUUUCAACAACGGAUCUCUUGGUUCUGGCAUCGAUGAAGAACGCAGCGAAAUGCGAUAAGUAAUGUGAAUUGCAGAAUUCAGUGAAUCAUCGAGUCUUUUGAACGCACACUUGCGCCCUUUGGUAUUCCGGAAGGGGCAUGCCUGUUCGAGCGUCAUUUACACCAAUCAAGCCUGGCUUGGUAUUGGGCGACGGGGCCGUCACACGCCCGGGCCUCCAAAGUCGCCGGCUGGAAAGCUCUGAAUCCUAAGCGUCGUGAAUCCAAAUCGCUACGGAGACGGGGCGUUCACGCCGUGAAACUUCCAUUCACAAGGUUGACCUCGGAUCGGGUAGGAAUACCCGCUGAACUUAA